AUGUUCACUUUGGCAACAUGGAUACUAAAAUUGGAACGCUACAGAGAAGAUUCGCUCAGCCCCUGUGCAAGGAUGACGUGUAAAUUCGUGAAGCAUUCUGUAUUUUU